rnacentral:pre_miRNA from 1 species
UUUGUACUCCCUCCGUCCCAAAUUCUUGUCUUAAAUUUGUCUAAAUACGGAUGUAUCUAGUUACAUUUUAGUGUUAGAUACAUCCGUAUCUAAACAAAUGUAAGACAAGAAUUUUGGGACGGAGGGAAUACUAC